GACGAACGCUGGCGGCGUGCCUAAUACAUGCAAGUCGAGCGAAGUUUUUCUGGUGCUUGCACUAGAAAAACUUAGCGGCGAACGGGUGAGUCACACGUAAAGAACCUGCCUCAUAGACUGGGACAACUAUUGGAAACGAUAGCUCAUACCGGAUAACAGUAUUUCUCGCAUGAGAGAUAUUUAAAAGUUGGUUAUGCUAACACUAUGAGAUGGCUUUGCGGUGCAUUAGCUAGUUGGUGGGGUAAAGGCCCACCAAGGCGACGAUGCAUAGCCGACCUGAGAGGGUGAUCGGCCACACGGGGACUGAGACACGGCCCAGACUCCUGCGGGAGGCAGCAGUAGGGAAUCUUCCGCAAUAGGCGAAAGCCUGACGGAGCAACGCCGCGUGAGUGAAGAAGGAUUUCGGUUCGUAAAGCUCUGUUGUUAGGGAAGAAUGGAUAUGUAGUAACUAUACAUGUGAGAGACGGUACCUAACCAGAAAGCCACGGCUAACUACGUG
rnacentral:rRNA from 1 species